rnacentral:rRNA from 1 species
GAUGAACGCUGGCGGCGUGCUUAACACAUGCAAGUCGAACGAUGAAGCCCAGAUUGCUGGGUGGAUUAGUGGCGAACGGGUGAGUAACAAGUGAGUACACUGCCCUUAUAUCUGGGAUAAGCCUGGGAAACUGGGUCUAAUACCGGCUAGGAGCGUCCACCGCAUGGAGGGUGUUGGAAAGAUUUAUCGGUUUUGGAUGGACUCGCGGCUUAUCGGCUUGUAAGUGAGGUAAUGGCUAACCAAAGCGACGACAGGUAGCCGACCUUGGAGGGGGACCGGCCACACUGGGACUGAGACACGUCCCAGACUCGUACGCUGGGCAGCAGUGGUGAGUAUUGCAGAAUGGGCCCAAGCCUGAUGCAGCGACGCCGCGUUAGUGAUGACGGCCUACGGGUUGUAAACCUCUUUCAGUAUGGAAGAAGCGAAAGUGACGGUACCUGCUGAAGAAGCACCGGCUAACUACGUG